CAAACUGGAGAUGGCGACCGGCGCACGGGUGAGUAACACGUAUCCAACCUGCCGAUGACUCGGGGAUAGCCUUUCGAAAGAAAGAUUAAUACCCGAUGGCAUAGUUCUUCCGCAUGGUAGAACUAUUAAAGAAUUUCGGUUAUCGAUGGGGAUGCGUUCCAUUAGGCAGUUGGUGGGGUAACGGCCCACCAAACCUUCGAUGGAUAGGGGUUCUGAGAGGAAGGUCCCCCACAUUGGAACUGAGACACGGUCCAAACUCCUACGGGAGGCAGCAUG
rnacentral:rRNA from 1 species